CACUAGUUAGAAUCUUUUUUCUAGUAAAUCAUGAAUUUAUCUCGGACAGUAUUAAAAAUCUUAUCGAAAGCUUACGGCAGCUUGCCAAUCAAAAGCUAAUAGAACAAAAUAAUAGAGGUAUUACUGGC